CAAGCACUAUUAGGAGAAAAAGUUAUUAACUGAACAAUGUUUAUGUGAGAUUAGCAUGUUGCGAAUGUAAUUAGAGAUGUUACCAAAGGUAUAGACUGUGGUCUUCUUAUUCAGAAGCAGUCCAGUUUAGAAACCAGACGGUAUUCCAUCUAUGCUGAAUAGCAACUGUGAGAAAAAUUAUCUAAGAGAAACAUGAAGGAACAUUGGUAAGGAAAUGCAACCAUUAGAUAAAAACUUAAAAAAAAAGUCCCUAACCUUAGACCUAAUAGUUCACUUCAGAGAACUUACUUAAAAAAAGAUUAGAAAUUUAAGUACCUAUACGGUUAUUGCUGUGUUCUUUAUAACAGUGAAAAAUUGAAAAUGAUUUCUAUGUCUAAAUAAUUAAACUACUUAAGUAACUUAGGUACAGCCAUAUACUGGGAUAAUUCAAAGCCAUGAAAACUUAUCUUAAAUGAUAGUUAACACAUGAAAAAUGCAUUUCAAGUAUUGCUAAAUUAAGACAAAUCAGAUUGCAAUAUAUUCAAAUCAAUCUCAAUUUUGUCAAAUCUCUCUCUCUCAAUGUUGAUUUACUCUUAGAGAAGUUUGAACAGAAACCAAUCAAAUAUUAACUGUGGUUUUCCCUACUGUGAAAUUUGGGGUGAUUAUAUCUUUUUUAUUAUUCUUUUCUAUAUUCUACCAUUUUUUUUCCAACAGGUAAUAAUACUCAAUUUUUCCUUUUUUUUUAACAAACGAGACUUUCAAUUGGAAGUGGUUUUUAAGAUAGCCUGAUAUAAGAGAAGACUGAACACUGAAAAAUAGGCUCAGGCAGGAAUCAUGUUGUGAAGUAAUAUAGGCUUGAAGUUAUCAAGGUGUAAAUUAAGGAGCUUGUAGUUGAAAAGGAGAUGGGGGGGGGGUCUGCAAAGGGAAAUUUUAACCAAAUUACUCAGUGAAAAGUUAGCCAAAUGCUCAAAAUAUUAGUCAUUAAACAUUUAGUUUUAAAUAGAGAAGGAGAUGGGUAAAUUCUGGGUUUCUCCCAAAUAUUCCACUUUGGUUAGCCCGACAGUUCUAAAUCUCUGGGCAUUCUAAUUAUCUUGAGAUCUGGGACUAAGUACGUUCUGAUUGCGAUGUUCUCUGAAGGAGCCACCGUGCAGCCUUGCUCAAAGUGAUCUGUAAUACUCGUGUGUGAAUUUCACCACUGCAAAGGCUACCAUGUGGUCCAUGUGGACAGAAGUGAGGAGUUCUGAUGUUGGCCAGGGAUUUGAAUUAAUAUAAAGUGACUGGUUGCUCAGCCCUGUUAUAUAUUCAGUAAUCGGUACCUUUCAUCUUCUUACAUUAUGUUUUAUGAAAGUAAAUAGAUGUGGGAUUAAUUCUAUUUAUGAAACAGUCAGCUGUACUAGUAGCUGUACAUAUAAUAUUUUGAAUUCAAACCUUUAGAGCACAUAAAUAUGGAAUGAAAUAUGAAAUAAGAAGAGUCAAUGAAUGUACAAUUUAGAGAUGUUUUUCGUUCAACAUUUCAAUAUACUUUAAAAUAAAUUUAGUGUAUCUUAAAGUCUAUUUCAAAUAUUCAGUGCAUAGUUUUUUUUUAAAACAGGAAUAUAAUAAAUACUGUACUUAGACUCUGAAUGCCCAAAGUUCAUAAUUAUCUCAAAGAAUCUUUUCACUCCAAGCCACCCGGAGGCUAAAUUUUAAAGUUAGGCAAGUUUGCAUUUACCAAUUCCUCCCCUAUUACCUUUCACCCUUAGAAGUGAAUCUAUUACGCCAGCCCGGAGCUAACCUACACUCUUACUCAUUGCCUUUUGCUCUUAACUCCGAAAUAGUUUUUCUGCCUGUUGCACAGGACUUGGUACUAUCCUUUCCUGACAGUCCUGAUGUAAGAGCAAGUAAUUGCUCUUCCCUCCUGAGUGCUAGCCAUUGUUCUCUGUCUGAAAUGGGGUCUCGUACUGAGUGAUGACCCCUCACCAUCAACCAUGCACAAAGCAUCGUACGCACAGUCUUUAGUAUUUACACACCUCGCACGGGAUCAGAAGUUGCAUAAAAUAAACAUGCAGUCACAGCUAUGUAAACCAGCUUUGAGUAUAAAAAUGAGAAAUUUCCUUCUGGUGGUUGUAGCUGAAUAGCCCUGAUAGGCUUCCACGUAAGUAGAGUGGGGACUUCAAUUAAAAUUUCAUGGGAAACAACACUACUUUGAGUAUUUCAACUGAUGUUACUUUCUUCUGUCACACUGGGCUCCAACUACCCGAGACGUCACAGGAAAGGUUCAUUUUCCUCUAGUUCACAACCAUUCUUGCCUUCACUGGCUUUCUCUACUGUAGUUAAGACAGAGCUAUCCCAGGGGAUCAAGACAUCAUUCUAUUUAUUGCCUUUCCUCUCAUCCUUAUUUUUCCCUUUAAAAUUAAUUUUAUAGUGAUAGUUCUUUAAAAAUAGCCUCAGGUACCCUUGUGUGUGUGUGUGUGUGUGUUUUUUUCCCUAAAGCGUACCAAUCUAAAAAUAAACUAACAAAAUCACAUACGCAAAAACUGGAAAACCCAAGAUGCAAUUCAACAAGGACAGAAUGAUGUCUUGUCCCCCGGGGAUAGCACACAUCUACUAGUACAGCUGACUGUUUGGUUCACCUUGUAAAUUAAAUUUGGCCAAAGGAACAUUGGUACAGGUAGCUACUGAGAGAUCUACAUAGAAACAAAAUGACAUACUUCCCAAAUUUAUGACUUCGGCUUCCAGGUGUCCCUGUGGAAAUCUUGAGGUCAUGUCAGCAGGGAACAGAGGAGGACUGAACAUGAAGUAGGAGCACUGCCUGCAAAAUUGAUCUAGAACAACUUUUCUCAGUUCAGUUCAGUUCAGUUCUGACGGUGUGUUAACUCACAAGAUGAAGAUAAAAACAAAAAGCAACCAACCUAGAUUUAGACAAAUCUUAAUUUCUUAAAGAUACUUAAAGGUAUAUUAUUGAUAAUAAAAUAAAUUUUUGCUAUAAAUUAUUAUGCUCUUUGUCACUAUCUGCAAGUAGAGCUGACCACGUUCCUGGUUCCCAAGAUGUAUUAGUGGAGAUGAAGACACUGAUUUAUGGGAAAUAUGAAGGAUUUGCCCAGUGUCACCUAGUAACUUAGUCAAUAGGGAAACAAAGCAAGCAAAAUACAGCCCCACCUUCAGAUUUAUGGAAGAUCCCCCCAAAUUCUGUAAGCUACAACAGCCUAAAGAAAUGACUGUGACUAUGUAUGUUUUUAAAAGGGGGUGAGGGGGGACCACAGAAGUAUUCUUGAGAUCUCAAGAGGAUAAGGCUCUUUUUGUUGAAAAUGAGGUCAAGUUUCUAAUGCACCAUUUAUGCCUUUUGGAGGGUCCUGUUGUGCCCCUCACCUGUUGCCCAGUGGGCUUCUUUCUCUGCCUCAAGUUCUUCAGUGGGAACAGAAAUGCAGGGACAGUUAAGAACAAAAAUCUCUUGUAAGCUGAAGUUGAUCUUGGAUAGCUGCCUUUAACCUUUCUCUCUCUCUCUGUAGAUUUUAUGACUUUAUAUCCACUUUCCUUUGUGAAAUCUAAUUUAGUCAUAUUCCAAGACAUCCUCAUUCAUUUUGUGAUUGAGCUCCAGUUUUCUAAAUGGAAUGAGGGUUGGGUUGAAUACAUAAAGGUAGGUGACCUUUACCCAAUGAUGGAAUUGUAAGAGCGAUUUAUGAUCUUGAAAGGAUUCGUGUCUACACAGAUGGCAAAUCCCAGCAUCUCCAGUCUCUGCCACUGCUUAAUUUCCCUCUGCCACAUUGCUCUGCUGCAGUGUUCAGUCACUGUCUUCUUUGGUAUGUUUCAAUUGACAGGAACAUUUACAAAUGAAAUCUUUACUAAAGGUGAAGUAAAACGAUUUUCUCCUUCAAGGUCUGAAUUUAGGAACCUGUCUUUUCUCAUAACAGCUGACGACAUCCUUGGUGUCUAGGAACACAAGGGAGAAUCUAUCUGCUGGCAGGAAGAGAAAAAAGAAUGUACACAAGAUGGAAACAACCAAGAAUAGAGGUUUCUGCAUCCUGAGAGAUCUUGCACUGCUAUCAUGUAAGAUGGAGCAAAUUUUGCUGGACAUUUACUGAGGACACUGAGUCUUACGAAGAGAAUGAACCUGUAUUUCAGAGUAUAUCCUGACAAUUAUAUUAAACUUCUCCAAUAAAAAAAAUAAAAUAAACACACACUAGAUAUGACAAGCUAUCUUAUUUUUCCAGGUGGUGAAAUUAGUUAUAAGCAUAGAAAAAGAACCACAUAGUUAAGAGUAGACUCAUCUUAGAAAACCCGGAAUAUACUGUUGCCUGUGUUUUUAUGCAGAAUUCCCUUGGUCUAUCUACUGAAAAUGUUUUGUAUUUUAGUGGUCCUUUUAAUAAAAUGCAGUACAUCUUUACAGAAUAGAACAGUUUCUUAAACCAGAAGGUAGUGGAUUUGUAUUAUGAAGUUUAGAAACCAGUGUCAGUGAAGAAGUAAGAACAUGUCAUGACAUUAUGGCCCAAUGAUUUUUAGUUCUUGGGCACAAAAGAAUUUAUAAUCAGAAAGAUUAUAAACAAUGAAGGGCUUCAAGACAGCCCUUCAUAUAAAGUUACUUUUAUCAUUCUUUUCUAUAGUCUACGAGCCAAAAAUAUGUUUAAUCAAAUGUUAAGAAGACAGAAAAUUUCUGCCGACUGCAGAGAAAGUCUAGAUAGUUUAUGGAUUUUUCUGAGAAAGUUUAUCAGCAACUAUAGCAUCUAUGAAAGCAAAAAAAAAAAGAUUCUAUCCUCACUAUUGAAAUAAUUUUGAAGUGAAGUAUUUUCCUCCUCUAGAACUACCCCUAGUGAUUUAGUCAAGGAAUGUGACAAUAGGAAA